ACUCGAGUGGCGAACGGGUGAGUAACACGUGGGUGAUCUGCCCUGCACUCUGGGAUAAGCCUGGGAAACUGGGUCUAAUACCGGAUAGGACCAUGCUUUAGUGUGUGUGGUGGAAAGUUUUUCGGUGUAGGAUGAGCCCGCGGCCUAUCAGCUUGUUGGUGGGGUAAUGGCCUACCAAGGCGGCGACGGGUAGCCGGCCUGAGAGGGUGUACGGCCACAUUGGGACUGAGAUACGGCCCAG
rnacentral:rRNA from 1 species